rnacentral:rRNA from 1 species
GGGUGCGAUCAUACCAGCACUAAUGCACCGGAUCCCAUCAGAACUCCGCAGUCAAGUGUGCUUGGGCGAGAGUAGUACUAGGAUGGGUGACCUCCUGGGAAGUCCUCGUGUUGCACCCCCCU